rnacentral:rRNA from 1 species
GACGAACGCUGGCGGCGUGCCUAACACAUGCAAGUCGGGCGAUGAAGUUCCCUUCGGGGGAGGGAUUAGCGGCGGAGGGGUGAGUAACACGUGGGCAACCUGCCUCACAGUGGGGGACAGCCUCCCGAAGGGGGGAUUAAUACCGCAAAAGAAGUGGAAACGGCAGGGUUUCAGCUUUAAGGGAGUAAUCCGUUAUGGGAUGGGCCCGCGGGGCAUUAGCUAGUUGGAAAGGUAAUGGCUUACCAAGGAAACGAUGCGUAGCCGACCUGAGGGGGUGAUCGGCCACAUUGGAACUGAGAUACGGUCCAGACUCCUACGGGAGGCAGCAGUGGGGAAUAGUGCACAAUGGGGGAAACCCUGAUGCAGCAACGCCGCGUGGGUGAUGAAUGUCUUCGGAUUGUAAAGCCCUGUCUUUUGGGACGAUAAUGACGGUACCAAAGGAGGAAGCCACGGCUAACUACGUGCCAGCCGCCGCUGUAAGAC